rnacentral:tRNA from 2 species
GGCUCUGUAGUGAAGUUCAUAGUGAGUUGCAAGCUCAUUGAUGUGCAUUAAUCGUGUACCGGGGCCU